rnacentral:rRNA from 1 species
GACGGAGGAUGCAAGCGUUAUCCGGAAUGAUUGGGCGUAAAGCGCACGUAGGCGGGUCGUUAAGUCAGAGGUGAAAUCCCGGAGCUCAACUUCGGAACUGCCUUUGAUACAGCAUAUCUUGAAUCCGGUAGAGGUGAGUGGAAUUCCUAGUGUAGAGGUGAAAUUCGUAGAUAUUAGGAAGAACACCGGUGGCGAAGGCGGCUCACUGGACCGGUAUUGACGCUGAGGUGCGAAAGCGUGGGGAGCAAACAGG